GAUGGUGAGAGCCAGUCCGGAAGAUGCAGUUCUUGCCCUUGAGUCCAUUGGCUUAACUCUGAAAGGCGACCUGGAGUGAAGGAACCAUUCUUUGGGCAAUCAUCUCCUGAAUCCUGCCCUCCUCACAGACACUGGGACACUGCAGAUCCCUCAACACCUUGAGGCCACCAACAAGGGAGUAAAUGACAUGAGAAGACUGUCAAUGCACAUGUUCAUCCACUGUCCCUCCUGCCUCCAGUCCUCAUUACACAGAGCUGACCCUGUGGCCCAUGACUGGCAUCUGCGCUCUGCUUUCCUAUUGCAGAGACCCCGUGAGCACCCGCCACGCCCAGGCCCUGUGCAUCACUCCUCUAUGUAACAGGAGCAGGCAUGCAGAGUCCCUGCUCUCAAAAGACUCAUCUUUAGGGACUGCAUGGGAGACAGAAGACAAAAUUGAAAAUAGAAAACAGAGAUGGUAGAGUGCAGCGUGCUGUAACGUCCAUGAGCAGAGGGAAGGAGAGGCAUGGAGGGGAAGGGACAGCUGCUUCGUCACAGGCCACCAGGAGCAUUCGUGUGAUGCUCCACAGUUUCUUCAAUCCCAUUUCAUUUUCUUCUUCUUCCAUCAUAUUUAAGCAAAGUUAAAUUUAUUGUGCUGUAGUUGAAAA